rnacentral:rRNA from 1 species
AACGCGGGGCAACCUGGCGACGAGUGGCGAACGGGUGAGUAAUGCAUCGGAACGUGCCCAGUAGUGGGGGAUAGCCCGGCGAAAGCCGGAUUAAUACCGCAUACGACCUAAGGGUGAAAGCGGGGGAUCGCAAGACCUCGCGCUAUUGGAGCGGCCGAUGUCGGAUUAGCUAGUUGGUGGGGUAAAAGCCUACCAAGGCGACGAUCCGUAGCUGGUCUGAGAGGACGACCAGCCACACUGGGACUGAGACACGGCCCAGACUCCUACGGGAGGCAGCAGUGGGGAAUUUUGGACAAUGGGCGCAAGCCUGAUCCAGCCAUGCCGCGUGCGGGGAGAAGGCCUUCGGGUUGUAAACCGCUUUUGUCAGGGAAGAAACG